AACGAACGCUGGCGGCAUGCCUAACACAUGCAAGUCGAACGAGACCUUCGGGUCUAGUGGCGCACGGGUGCGUAACGCGUGGGAAGCUGCCCUUCGGUUCGGAAUAACAGUUAGAAAUGACUGCUAAUACCGGAUGUGGACGUAAGUCCAAAGAUUUAUCGCCGAAGGAUGAGCCCGCGUAGGAUUAGGUAGUUGGUGGGGUAAUGGCCCACCAAGCCGACGAUCCUUAGCUGGUCUGAGAGGAUGAUCAGCCACACUGGGACUGAGACACGGCCCAGACUCCGACGGGAGGCAGCAGUGGGGAAUAUUGGACAAUGGGCGAAAGCCUGAUCCAGCAAUGCCGCGUGAGUGAUGAAGGCCUUAGGGUUGUAAAGCUCUUUUACCAGGGAUGAUAAUGACAGUACCUGGAGAAUAAGCUCCGGCUAACUCCGUGCCAGCCGCCGCAGUAA
rnacentral:rRNA from 1 species